rnacentral:rRNA from 1 species
GUGCCAGCCGCCGCGGUAAUACGUAGGGUGCGAGCGUUAAUCGGAAUUACUGGGCGUAAAGCGUGCGCAGGCGGUUUCGUAAGACAGAUGUGAAAUCCCCGGGCUUAACCUGGGAACUGCGUUUGUGACUGCGAGACUCGAGUGUAGCAGAGGGGGGUGGAAUUCCACGUGUAGCAGUGAAAUGCGUAGAGAUGUGGAGGAACACCGAUGGCGAAGGCAGCCCCCUGGGUUAACACUGACGCUCAUGCACGAAAGCGUGGGGAGCAAACAGGAUUAGAUACCCUGGUAGUCCACGCCCUAAACGAUGCGAACUAGGUGUUGGAGAAGGAGACUUCUUUAGUACCGUAGCUAACGCGUGAAGUUCGCCGCCUGGGGAGUACGGUCGCAAGAUUAAAACUCAAAGAAAUUGGCGG